UACGUAGGGUGCAAGCGUUGUCCGGAAUUAUUGGGCGUAAAGGGCUCGUAGGCGGUCCAUCGCGUCGGGGGUGAAAAGCUGGGGCUUAACCCCAGUCCUGCUUCCGAUACGGGUGGACUAGAGGUAGGUAGGGGAGAACGGAAUUCCUGGUGUAGCGGUGAAAUGCGCAGAUAUCAGGAGGAACACCGGUGGCGAAGGCGGUUCUCUGGGCCUUAACUGACGCUGAGGAGCGAAAGCAUGGGGAGCAAACAGG
rnacentral:rRNA from 1 species